ensembl:snRNA U6 U6 spliceosomal RNA
GGGCUCACUUCAGCAGCACAUGUACUAAAAUUUGAUACAGAGAAUAUUAACACAGCCCUUGUGCAAGGAUGACAUUCAAAUUUGUGAAGUGUUCCAUGUUUUU